GACGAACGCUGGCGGCGUGCUUAACACAUGCAAGUCGAACGAAGAGCGAUGGAAGCUUGCUUCUAUCAAUCUUAGUGGCGAACGGGUGAGUAACGCGUAAUCAACCUGCCCUUCAGAGGGGGACAACAGUUGGAAACGACUGCUAAUGCCGCAUACGAUCUGACCUCGGCAUCGAGGAUAGAUGAAAGGUGGCCUCUAUUUAUAAGCUAUCACUGAAGGAGGGGAUUGCGUCUGAUUAGCUAGUUGGAGGGGUAACGGCCCACCAAGGCGAUGGUCAGUAGCCGGUCUGAGAGGAUGAACGGCCACAUUGGGACUGAGACACGGCCCAGACUCCUACGGGAGGCAGCAGUGGGGAAUCUUCCGCAAUGGACGAAAGUCUGACGGAGCAACGCCGCGUGAGUGAUGACGGCCUUCGGGUUGUAAAGCUCUGUUAAUCGGGACGAAAGGCCUUCUUGCGAAUAGUUAGAAGGAUUGACGGUACCGGAAUAGAAAGCCACGGCUAACUACGUG
rnacentral:rRNA from 1 species